rnacentral:rRNA from 1 species
AUUGAACGCUGGCGGCAGGCCUAACACAUGCAAGUCGAACGAGUGGCGGACGGGUGAGUAAUGUCUGGGAAUCUGCCCGAUGGAGGGGGAUAACUACUGGAAACGGUAGCUAAUACCGCAUACUAUCGGAUGUACCCAGAUGGGAUUAGCUAGUAGGUGGGGUAAAGGCUCACCUAGGCGACGAUCCCUAGCUGGUCUGAGAGGAUGAACAGCCACACUGGAACUGAGACACGGUCCAGACUCCUACGGGAGGCAGCAGUGGGGAAUAUUGCACAAUGGGCGCAAGCCUGAUGCAGCCAUGCCGCGUGUAUGAAGAAGGCCUUAGGGUUGUAAAGUACUUUCAGCGGGGAGGCGUUACUCGCAGAAGAAGCACCGGCUAACUCCGUGCCAGCAGCCGCGGUAAUAC